GAUGAACGCUGGCGGCGUGCCUAAUACAUGCAAGUCGAACGGGGAGUAGCAAUACUCUUAGUGGCGAACGGGUGAGUAACGCGUUGGUACCUGCCCCGAAGCGGGGGAUAACGGACCGAAAGGUCCGCUAAUACCCCAUGUGCUCGGUAACGAGUAAAGGUGAAAACCACUUUGGGAGGGGCCUGCGUCCCAUCAGCUAGUUGGUAAGGUAACGGCUUACCAAGGCGAUGACGGGUAGGGGACCUGAGAGGGUGGCACCCCACAAUGGAACUGAAACACGGUCCAUACACCUACGGGUGGCAGGAGUAGGGAAUAUUGGUAAUGGGCGCAAGCCUGAACCAGCAACGGCGCGUGUGCGAUGACGGCCUUCGGGUUGUAAAGCACUUUUGACUGGGACGAGGAAGGACGGUACCGGUCGAAUCAGCCUCGGCUAACUACGUG
rnacentral:rRNA from 1 species